AAAGUCUGGUCUUACAGCGCCUUUCUAUCUUUGUUCUUCCACCUGAUUCUCAUUGGUCGGUUAAUCUCUCGAUAGUGGAUAAAGCCACUCUAAGGAAAAAGAAAGGUGGUAAGUGACUGUAGGCAUGGUUAAUGAUCCAGUAUUUAUGAUAACUGAUAGAUGUUACAUACCUUCCUCACCCCACCUCGCUGUGAUGAACUAACCCUGGUCUAUUUGUUGACAAUUUCUUUUAAUAUUUC